AGACCCGAUGACUGGCGCACAUGUUAGACUCCUUGACCCGUCUUGAAACACGGACCAAGGAGUCUAACAUGUGCGCAAGUCAUCGGGUCUUGUUCAGGCCCGUAGGCGAAAUGAAAGUGAAGGGCGACUCGAGUCGUCUGCGUUGGGACCCCGGCCACUCGUGGUCGGUAGCACCAACGGCCCGUCCCGAUCGCUUCGUCGAUGGGGCGGAGCGAGAGCGUACACGUUGGGACCCGAAAGAUGGUGAACUAUGCCUGGGCAGGACGAAGCCAGAGGAAACUCUGGUGGAGGUCCGCAGCGAUUCUGACGUGCAAAUCGAUCGUCAGACCUGGGUAUAGGGGCGAAAGACUAAUCGAACCAUCUAGUAGCUGGUUCCCUCCGAAGUUUCCCUCAGGAUAGCUGGCGCUCGGAGGAAGCAUUCUCAUCCGGUAAAGCGAAUGAUUAGAGGCCUUGGGGCCGAAACGACCUCAACCUAUUCUCAAACUUUAAAUGGGUGAGAAGUCCGGCUUGCUCGACUGAAGCCCGGACGCAAGGAUGCGAGUGCCCAGUGGGCCACUUUUGGUAAGCAGAACUGGCGCUGUGGGAUGAACCAAACGCCGGGUUAAGGCGCCCGAUGCGAGACGCUCAUGAGACCCCCUGCGAGGUGUUGGGUGCUUUCGACAGAGAGUGGGAGUUCCUGGACGGAGGAAUCCGCUAUCGAGUGUGUGACUCCUCAGCUGCCGAACCCACUACCCCUGAACAUGGAUGGUGCUGCAAGGCAGAGCCCAUACCCGGCCGUCGCGGCCGCGAACAUGUUUCUUAAGCUGCGACGAGUAGGAGGGCGCAGGGGUGUGCGUUGAAGGUGCCGGGCGUGAGCCCGUCUGGAGCCGCCCCUGGUGCAGAUCUUGGUGGUAGUAGCAAAUACUCAAGUGAGAACCUUGAGGACUGAGGUGGAGAAGGGUUCCAUGUGAACAGCAGUUGAACAUGGGUCAGUCGGUCCUAAGGGAUAGGAGAAAUCCGUUCCGAAGCGGGACCUUCUUGUGAUUUGGCUGGUCCCGCCGCAGACCGAAAGGGAAUCGGGUUAAUAUUCCCGAACCCGGACACGGAGAUCGACCCCUUACGGGGGUUCAGUGCGGUAACGCAAGCGACCUCGGAGACGUCGACGGGAGUCCCGGAACGAGUUGUCUUUUCUUUGUAAGGGCUCGGCUCCCUGGAAUCGGCUCGCCCGGAGAUAGGGAUGCUGUACCCGUAAAGCACCGCGCCUCUUGCGGUGUCCGGAGCGCCCCCGUCGGCCCUUGAAAAUCCGAGCGAGAGAUUGUGAUUUUCGUGCCGGACCGUACCCAUAUCCGCAGCAGGUCUCCAAGGUGAACAGCCUC
rnacentral:rRNA from 1 species